GCUCUGUCUUGCUUAACUGUGCCUAGCUACAGGAACCCUGGGACUGGAGUUUGACCUGUGGCUGGCUUGACCUUGGUUCUGCCUGGAAGCAGUGUGAAUCAUGUCUUUGACCUGCAGAAAUUACCAGGAAAUUCUUCUCAGUGCAUCCAAAUUGCCAAGAUCCUUCUGAAGGGCUGCACAGCACUCUGGAGUAUCCAUCACACCUCCCAGAAUGGGGUGGCUCCCACAGUUCCAGCAUGGAUUCUUUCUGGAGAAUACAUUCCUUCUGGCUACAGCCUGCUCCAGAGUGGGUUUCCUCACAGGGUCACAGCUCCUGCCAGAGAACCUGUUCGUGCGUGGGUUCCGC